UACGUAGGGGGCAAGCGUUGUCCGGAUUUAUUGGGCGUAAAGAGCGUGUAGGCGGUUAGGUAGGUCAGCUGUGAAAACUCGAGGCUCAACCUCGAGACGCCGGUUGAAACCAUCUGACUAGAGUCCGGAAGAGGAGAGUGGAAUUCCUGGUGUAGCGGUGAAAUGCGCAGAUAUCAGGAAGAACACCCGUGGCUAAGGCGGCUCUCUAGUACGGUACUGACGCUGAGACGCGAAAGCGUGGGGAGCGAACAGG
rnacentral:rRNA from 1 species